AGUAUCACGCCGGAAGAACGGGCUACUCUGAUGACGUAGAUUAUGGAAUUACCCCUGAUACUU
rnacentral:tRNA from 1 species